rnacentral:rRNA from 1 species
AAUGAACGUUGGCGGCGUGGAUUAGGCAUGCAAGUCGAGCGAGAACCCAGCAAUGGGGGACAGCGGCGCAAGGGACAGUAAUGUGUAGAUCAUCUGCCCUCAGGACCGGGAUAGCUGCGGGAAACUGCAGGUAAUACCGGAUAACAUCUCCGGAUCAAAGGUGUGAUUCCGCCUGAGGAUGAGUCUACAUCCUAUUAGCUAGUUGGUAGGGUAACGGCCUACCAAGGCGAUGAUGGGUAGCGGGUGUGAGAGCACGACCCGCGUCAUUGGGACUGGGACACUGCCCAGACACCUACGGGGGGCUGCAGUCGAGAAUCUUCGGCAAUGGGCGCAAGCCUGACCGAGCGACGCCGCGUGUGGGAUGAAGGCCUUCGGGUUGUAAACCACUGUUAGAGGGGAUGAAAUGCAGGUGGGUUCUCCCAUCUGUUUGACAUAGCCUCAGAGGAAGGACGGGCUAAGUUCGUGCCAGCCGCCGCCGUAACAC